AAGUCUGAAAUAUGUAGUGAAUAAACAUAUAGAAAUUAUCAAAUAUAAUUCAUACGAGCCCACACAAAAGAAACAAUAAUCAAAAUCAAACUUAGCUCAUCCCUACACUACUUAUUGCAAAGCAAUUCCACUCCUCAAUGAAACAAUUUCUCAGACCAAAUUCAAAGCGCUAAACUCAAGUAAAAAGGAAGGGGGACAUCCAUAGGUCCAAAAUAUGCAACUAAAGAAGUCUUUUAAGAUAAAUUAUAGCAAAAAUAAUAAAGCUUAAGAUUUUUAUCAGGGAUGGGCAGUAGACCGGGAGCUAAGAAAUAAAGAUUGUUUCAAUUGAUGUCAUUGUUGUCGAAGUCAUCUUCAAAGCAAAUGAAGAAGUCAACAUUGGUGAGCUUCGAAUCUUCCUCCUCUUGAACUUGACUUGCAAAGUAGCUGGAUUAUUCAGGAUCACUUGCCUUGUACUUCAGCUACUCAAAACUUAUGAGGAUUAGUUAUUUUAAAUAUUAAGAAAAGCCU